GGGAAUUUGAAGGAGAGUUGAUAGUGCUUGAAAUUGUUGGGGGGGACCGUAUGGGGGCCGGCGAUGGGGCCCCUCUCGGAUGUGGAAUUGUGACCAUUCGGUCCGCCAUUCGACUUGGGGCAGGGACCUUUGCCGAUUGAAACCGCGGCCUACGCCCUCUACUUUGUUACGCCCGUGGAGACGUCGUCGUCCCGAUCGUGGCUGGCAGCGCGCGCCUUAUGGCGGGCUUCGGCAUCUGCGCGCUCCUGGCAUCGGCCUUUGGGCUCCCCAUUCGACCCGUCUUGAAACACGGACCAAGGAGUCUAGGCGAACGGGGAAAUUCAUUCUCGUUUCGGAUAUCGCCGAUGAACACCUCCGUGACGGACGGGGUUCGCGUCAUCGACGCGGGUCGCGUCCGUCGACUUUCGCCGAAGGCGUGCACUUCUCUCUUAUUAAUACAUCGCGACCCGUUCGAGGUCGGCGUAAGCGACGUUCGGGAGUCCAAUUGU
rnacentral:rRNA from 1 species